GAAUGUUGCAAGUACACGAAUUCGUUUUUCUGUUUCAUGACUAUUGUUUAAUGUUACUACAAUUUGCGCGACUUCAUUCAAGAAUUGCAAUUCAUAUAAUAUUGUUUCAGAAUAAUUUAAGUUCAAGUAAUAAUUUAGAAUAAAAAAUGCAAACCCACUCAGGCUGGCAAUGUAUUAUUAUGUCGCUACGUUGUGUGACGUAGACAUGUCAUUUAUAAGUUAGUUAUAUGUAUAAAACGAUUACUUAUAUACAAAAUGUUUUUGUAACGCACAAUUAAAUUACAUUUGAGGCUGACUUUCAAUCGCCAGAUAGCUUCUAGCAUAGAUAACUUUGACUGUAUAAGAAAUACAAACCGGUCAAAGGUUCAAGAUUCUUCAGUUAAAAGUUAACUAGCGAUUGAAAAGUCGGCUCUAGUGUUAUCUCUAUAGUUGUUGUAAUUAUAAGUUUGUUUUAGUUAUUACUUUGUGUUAUUAUUAGUAAAUAAUGAUGCAAUAAAAUGUCAGUACAAGGCUGCUCGCAGAUUUAUAUGUAAUAUUUUUAUGUAGAUUGAGAAUAGCUGCAUAUAUUAGUCUAAUUAUAUAUUUAUAUUAUGUCUACUUAUACAAAUAUACAAUAUAUAUAAACUUAUUUAUUUACACAUAGUAAUUAUAGCAAGGCAUAUAUGGCAUUCUAAUUCAUAAGUUUUCUGGUGUUUUCGUUUAGACCAGUAUGUAUUUUUUUUUCUAAGGCACUAGAUGAGUGCAAAAUAUCAGUCCUUUGAUAAUAAUUUCGUAAUUCAGUAUAACAGUUCGCUGUGACUCGAUUCUGAAAAGAAAGCCAAAUAAGUUGUAUUCUUCUGUAAGACACAUACAUCACUAAGUGCUCACUUAAGACCGGACAGUAUCCAGGCGACAGCAUAUCAAGCUAAAUUCUGAAAGAACUUAUGUCAUUGUAAUAAAAGCUACUUUACAACAAACAUUCAUUGUCUGAUGUGCUGUCGAUUCCUUACACUUUGGUCUCAAACUACACCACUCAAACGUGAAAGAGCACCGAAAUCUUGACCAAAACGGUUGUGAAUAUUUUAAGAUCCUUCUUCGGAAAUCGUAAUAAGUGGUGCCUGUUACUGUUUGGGUGGUGUCUUUCAACUCUUUGUGCAAUACAUGUUUUAAACGUGUCCAUUUAGGGGCAUGCUAAUGAGAAUCCAAUUUGAUAUUACAUUACCUAAUACCCCUACUAUUCGUAUUUUGACAAACCGCAAAAAAGAUGGUAAAUACUGCACAAUAUUAAAUAACCCUUUGCCCGCGUCGACACAAUAUACAUUUUAUUGACUUAUCAAUCAGAAUCUAUGUCCAUACAAAAUCUAAGCAGCAUUCUACUUGCGAGUUUUGAGAAUCAGUGUAGUAUUUCCAAAUAGGUGUAACCCUCAAAAUAACUAUAUGGCCAGCUAUUAACAUUAUGUAUCUAAAAUCUCAUUAAUAAAUCCGUAAUUAGUAUUAGACUGAAAAUUUAGUCGCAUUGUCAUUCAAGAUCCCUCCAAGAAUUAUCUUCAAAGUAAAGGUACAGAACGGUUUGAACGCGUCUGGUUUGUUGGGGACUAAAGAGUGUGUGUAAAAUGGUACAUAUUUCUUGCUUUAAAGGGAAUGGUAUUGCAUUCUAAAGAAAUAGUGCCAUGUAGUUUGUUCUAUGAGAAUUUGUACAUAUAAUUAUUACUAUUUUUAUUGAAAUAUCAUUGACACCUGUCGACCUAUAGAAUGUAUUAGUAUAUUUUGUAACAUAAUAAAAUUAAAUUGUAUGAAACGCGCAUUUUUGGAUGUGUAUCCUACAAUAAACUGAGUUAUUAGCAUAGUGAAACGUUUAUAGGUUUACAUCGAUUUUUGAUGUUGAUGCAGGUGAAUAUGUUAAAGAUUGUUACCACGAUGCAAUCGGAUUGUGGAUGAAAUGUGUUCCCAUUAAUUGUAAGCAAUAUAUCCUAAAAGGAUUUUUAUGUACUCUUGUAUAAUGUAUAAAAUUAUUGUUUAAAUUUUUAAGGCAAUGUUAACGAUUGACCUGCAUCAGUUUUUAA